rnacentral:rRNA from 1 species
GAGUUUGAUCCUGGCUCAGAACGAACGCUGGCGGCGCGCCUAAUACAUGCAAGUCGAACGAGAAUGUGUAGCAAUACACAUGUAAAGUGGCGAACGGGUGAGGACUACAUGGGUAACCUACCCUCGAGUGGGGGAUAACCAGCCGAAAGGUUGGCUAAUACCGCGUACGCUUCCGGGACUGCGGUUUCGGAAGGAAAGCGAUACCGUGGGUAUCGCGCUCUUGGAUGGGCUCAUGCCCUAUCAGCUUGUUGGUGAGGUAACGGCUCACCAAGGCAUCGACGGGUAGCUGAUCUGAGAGGAUGAUCAGCCACACUGGCACUGCGACACGGGCCAGACUCCUACGGGAGGCAGCAGUAAGGAAUAUUGCGCAAUGGGCGAAAGCCUGACGCAGCGACGCCGCGUGGGGGAUGAAGGUCUUCGGAUUGUAAACCCCUUUCGGGAGGGAAGAUGGGAUGGGGUAACCCAUUCGGACGGUACCUCCAGAAGCAGCCACGGCUAACUUCGUGCCAGCAGCCGCGGUAAUACGAAGGUGGCAAGCGCUGUUCGGAUUUACUGGGCGUACAGGGAGCGUAGGCGAUUGGAUAAGCCCUCCGUGAAAUCUCCAGGCUUAACCUGGAAAGUGCAGAGGGGACUGUUCAGCUAGAGGAUGGGAGAGGAGCGCGGAAUUCCCGGUGUAGCGGUGAAAUGCGUAGAGAUCGGGAGGAAGGCCGGUGGCGAGGCGCGCUCUACAUUUCUGACGCUGAGGCUCGAAAGCGUGGGGAGCAAACAGGAUUAGAUACCCUGGUAGUCCACGCUUAAACGAUGGAUACUAAGUGUCGGCGGGUUACCGCCGGUGCCGCAGCUAACGCAGUAAGUAUCCCGCCUGGGAAGUACGGCCGCAAGGUUAAAACUCAAAGGAAUUGACGGGGACCCGCACAAGCGGUGGAUGAUGUGGAUUAAUUCGAUGCAACGCGAAAAACCUUACCUACCCUUGACAUGGCAGGAACUUUCCAGAGAUGGAUUGGUGCUCGAAAGAGAACCUGCACACAGGUGCUGCAUGGCUGUCGUCAGCUCGUGUCGUGAGAUGUUGGGUUAAGUCCCGCAACGAGCGCAACCCUUGUCAUUAGUUGCUACGAAAGGGCACUCUAAUGAGACUGCCGGUGACAAACCGGAGGAAGGUGGGGAUGACGUCAAGUCCUCAUGGCCCUUAUGGGUAGGGCUUCACACGUCAUACAAUGGUCGGUACAGAGGGUUGCCAAGCCGCGAGGUGGAGCCAAUCCCAGAAAACCGGUCGUAGUCCGGAUCGCAGUCUGCAACUCGACUGCGUGAAGUCGGAAUCGCUAGUAAUCGCGGAUCAGAAUGCCGCGGUGAAUACGUUCCCGGGUCUUGUACACACCGCCCGUCACACCAUGGGAGUGGGUUCUACCAGAAGUGGCUAGUCUAACCGCAAGGAGGACGGUCACCACGGUAGGAUUCAUGACUGGGGUGAAGUCGUAACAAGGUAGCCGU